AGAGUUUGAUCAUGGCUCAGGAUAAACGCUGGCGGCGUGCCUAAUGCAUGCAAGUCGAACGGGCGCACUUGUGCGUGACCGUGGCGGACGGGUGAGGAGCACGUAGCUGACCUGCCCUGGUGUGGGGGAUAUCCUCCGGAAACGGAGUGUAAUACCGCAUGUGCUUGAUUGGAGGGAUCUGAUCAAGGAAAGCCGAGAGGCGUACCAGGAGGGGGCUGCGUCCGAUUAGCUCGUUGGUGGGGUAACGGCCUACCAAGGCGAUGAUCGGUAGCUGGUCUGAGAGGACGAUCAGCCACACGGGGACUGAGACACGGCCCCGACUCCUACGGGAGGCAGCAGCAAGGAAUUUUCCACAAUGGGCGCAAGCCUGAUGGAGCAACGCCGCGUGGGGGAUGACGCACUUCGGUGUGUAAACCCCUUUUCGAGGGGACGAAGGCAAUGACGGUACCCUCGGAAGAAGGAUCGGCUAACUACGUGCCAGCAGCCGCGGUAAGACGUAGGAUCCGAGCGUUGUCCGGAGUUACUGGGCGUAAAGCGCGCGCAGGCGGACACGCGCAUCGGCGGUGAAAGCCCCCCGCUCAACGGGGGAGGGUCCGUCGAGAUGGCGUGUCUGGAGGCAGGGAGAGGCCAGUGGAAUUCCGGGUGUAG
rnacentral:rRNA from 1 species